rnacentral:misc_RNA from 1 species
CACAAGCCUUUUUAUGCGGUCAGUCCAUACGUAUUACAACUACAAUAUUAAGAUUGCCGCUUAUUCUGUUGAUUAUUUCGUUAUCCACUAAAAAAAUUUCCCAAGAAAAUCUGAAUUUGCCAUGAAAGUUCUGGUGCUAGCCCCUUCUCUAUAUAAGGCUUUUUCUCCUCUCUCUCUUCGCAAUCCUUUCUUGUUUCCAUACGCUUCUUCAUCUAUUUUCACCCUUUCCAAGCAUCUCCAUUUCAAUCCCAUGGCUGCUUGUGUUGACACUCC